UUUGAUCCUGGCUCAGGACGAACGCUGGCGGCGUGCCUAAUACAUGCAAGUCGAGCGGACAGAUGGGAGCUUGCUCCCUGAUGUUAGCGGCGGACGGGUGAGUAACACGUGGGUAACCUGCCUGUAAGACUGGGAUAACUCCGGGAAACCGGGGCUAAUACCGGAUGGUUGUUUGAACCGCAUGGUUCAAACAUAAAAGGUGGCUUUGGCUACCACUUACAGAUGGACCCGCGGCGCAUUAGCUAGUUGGUGAGGUAACGGCUCACCAAGGCAACGAUGCGUAGCCGACCUGAGAGGGUGAUCGGCCACACUGGGACUGAGACACGGCCCAGACUCCUACGGGAGGCAGCAGUAGGGAAUCUUCCGCAAUGGACGAAAGUCUGACGGAGCAACGCCGCGUGAGUGAUGAAGGUUUUCGGAUCGUAAAGCUCUGUUGUUAGGGAAGAACAAGUACCGUUCGAAUAGGGCGGUACCUUGACGGUACCUAACCAGAAAGCCACGGCUAACUACGUGCC
rnacentral:rRNA from 1 species